GACGAACGCUGGCGGCGUGCUUAACACAUGCAAGUCGUACGGUAAGGCCCUUUCGGGGGUACACGAGUGGCGAACGGGUGAGUAACACGUGAGUAACCUGCCCACAACUUUGGGAUAACGCUAGGAAACUGGUGCUAAUACUGGAUAUGUGCCCCUGCUGCAUGGUGGGGGUUGGAAAGCUCCGGCGGUUGUGGAUGGACUCGCGGCCUAUCAGCUUGUUGGUGGGGUAGUGGCCUACCAAGGCGGCGACGGGUAGCCGGCCUGAGAGGGUGACCAGCCACAUUGGGACUGAGAUACGGCCCAGACUCCUACGGGAGGCAGCAGUGGGGAAUAUUGCACAAUGGGCGCAAGCCUGAUGCAGCAACGCCGCGUGCGGGAUGACGGCCUUCGGGUUGUAAACCGCUUUCAGCAGGGACGAAGCUUUUUGUGACGGUACCUGCAGAAGAAGCACCGGCUAACUACGUG
rnacentral:rRNA from 1 species